AUUGAUCGCUGGCGGCAGCCCUAACACAUGCAAGUCGAACGGUAACAUCAAGCAGCUUGCUGCUUCACUGACGAGUGGCGGACGGGUGCGUAAUGUCUUGCAAGCUGCCUGGUGGAGGGUGAUAACGACUGGAAACGGUAGCUAAUACCGCAUAAUGUCGCAAGACCAAAGCGCGGGACCUUCGGGCCUCUUGCCAUCUCCUGUGCCCAGAUGGGAUUAGUUUGUUGGUGGUGUAACGCCUCACCAAGCCGACGAUCCCUAGCUGGUCUGAGCGGAUGACCAGCCGCACUGGAACCGAGACAAGGUCAAGACUCGUACGGGAGGCCGCAGUGGGGAAUAUUGCACAAUGGGCGCAAGCCUGAUGCAGCCAUGCCGCGUGUAGGAAGAAGCCCUUCGGGUUGUCAAGUACUUUCAGCGGGGAGGACGGGAGUAAAGUUAAUACCUUUGCUCAUUGACGUAACCAGCAGAAGAAGCCCCGGCUAACUCCGUG
rnacentral:rRNA from 1 species